rfam:Schistosoma margrebowiei strain Zambia genome assembly, scaffold: SMRZ_contig0000034
AUCCAGCUGAUUAGUCCUAAAUAGGACGAAAGGUGCGUCCUGGAU